UACGAAGGGUGCAAGCGUUACUCGGAAUUACUGGGCGUAAAGCGUGCGUAGGUGGUUUGUUAAGUCUGUUGUGAAAGCCCCGGGCUCAACUCGGGAAGUGCACUCGAUACUGCGGAACUCGAGUAUCGGAGAGGUUGGUGGAAUUCUCGGUGUAGAGGUGAAAUUCGUAGAUAUCGGGAGGAACACCAGUGGCGAAGGCGGCUGCCUGGACCUGUGCUGACGCUGAGGCGCGAAAGCGUGGGGAGCGAUCCGG
rnacentral:rRNA from 1 species